UGAGGAACAUGAUCUUCGGCGGGGGAUAGCCGGCCCAACGGCCGGGUAAUACCGCGUACGACCACAUGGGGACAUCCCUGAGUGGUGAAAGCAGCAAUGCACCGAAAGAGUGCCUCGCGGCCUAUCAGCUAGUUGGUGGGGUAACGGCUCACCAAGGCGACGACGGGUAGCUGGUCUGAGAGGAUGGCCAGCCACAUUGGGACUGAGACACGGCCCAGACUCCUAGGAG
rnacentral:rRNA from 1 species